rnacentral:rRNA from 1 species
UGGCGGACGGGUGAGUAACGCGUGGGUAACCUGCCUUAUACAGGGGAUAACAGUUAGAAAUGACUGCUAAUACCGCAUAAGCGCACAGGAUUGCAUGAUCUGGUGUGAAAAACUCCGGUGGUAUAAGAUGGACCCGCGUCUGAUUAGCUGGUUGGUGAGGUAACGGCCCACCAAGGCGACGAUCAGUAGCCGACCUGAGAGGGUGACCGGCCACAUUGGGACUGAGACACGGCCCAAACUCCUACGGGAGGCAGCAUG